rnacentral:rRNA from 1 species
GCAAGUCGCACGAGAACUCUUCUGCUUGCAGAAGAUAGUAAAGUGGCGCACGGGUGAGUAACGCGUGGGUAAUCUACCUUCGAAUCGGGGGUAACAUCGCGAAAGCGGUGCUAAUACCGGAUAAUAUCUUUUUGACUACGGUCGUUAAGAUCAAAGAUGGCCUCUACAUGUAAGCUAUUGUUUGAAGAUGAGCCCGCGUACCAUUAGCUUGUUGGUGGGGUAAUAGCCUACCAAGGCUACGAUGGUUAGCUGGUCUGAGAGGAUGAUC